rnacentral:lncRNA from 1 species
AAUAAAAGAAAAUGACUCGGACUCAAAUGGACCCAAUCCGGGUCUAACUCAAUCCGGGGCUCAGGGUCAUCUGAAUAAAGGGCUCUGAUGUCCCCAUCAUAUCUUCUUUUGGCACUUCCUCUUUGCAUCUAUCUUCUUUUGCUGAUUGUUGGAAGCCUAAGAGGAAAUGCUCUACUAUCUUUAAUGGUACACUCUCCUCUUUGCAACCCUUUUGGAACAUAUCUUCUUUUGUUGUUGGGAAUGGGUUGAAGCUAAUCUUUUGGAAGCACAAGUGGAUCCUGAAUUUACCUUUGAGAGCCUUAUUUGCCAACUUUUAUCAGGCUUCUAGGCUCAAAUCUAGGUAUGUGGCUCAAUUUUUCAAUCGAAGCUCUUGGCACUUCUAAUGUGGCACUUCCCUUUUGAGGCUGCGGCUAAACUGCAGUAUUUGUCUAGCAUCCUUAACGGGACUCUGCUGGAUCCAAACCUACCGGAUGAUCACUCAUAGUCCCUUACCGCCUCUGGUCUGUUCACCAUUGCAUCUUUGUACGGCUUCCUGAAAAGGGGAAUCAAAUGGGACUUCUAUUGUUUGGAAACUCAAAGUCCCUCUAAAGGUUAGAUGUUUCUUCUGGAUGACACUUCUUGACAAACUAAACACUAGGGGAAACAUUUUGAAAAGAAUGGAUAAGUCCCUUGGUGGCUGUCCCUGUCGCUCUAAUCCUUUAGAAACAGCUGCUUGUCUCUUCCUAUCUUGUCGUUUUGCCUCUCAAAUGUGGAGCAUUCUCUGCUUGCACCUAAAUGUCCCUUGCCCACAUGGUGAUCUAAAGGAUCUCAAUACCAAAUGGAUAUCAGCUUAUUCCUCAAGAGACAUAUUCUGCUGUGCUCAUGCUAAUUGUUGCUUUUCUUUGGUGCUGCUAGAAGAAGCGAAAUAGUCGAAUCUGCAUGAAUCAAAGUUCCUUACCUUCAUCCACUGACUUCUCUGCUAUUAGCUUGGUUAGUAGCUGGUCUAUUCUCCUUGAUCAUAAAUCCCUUCUCGAUUUGGCAAGCUGCAGGAUCGGAUUAGGAAGCUUUGAGGAUCAAGUGUUUCCUCUUCAGAUGAGCAUGGACGAUGCCUUCUUUCUGUUGUUGCUGUUGUCCGGCUUUGUGUGACUCUCCGAAUGAAAUGAAGCCCUCCUAUUGCACUUCCAUUGGUGCGGUUCUCACAGAAGGAGAAUAUGAUGGAAUCACAAGCAUUGUGAUGAUCCCAGGUUCUUUUGUGUUAUCUGAGCCACUUUGUCCGGCUCACCUGAGUCUCCUUUGUUUUUUUCCUUCUUUUACUUCUUAGCGUGCUCCUGUUUUCCUAUUUUUCUUUCUCUUGUAUAUUUCCUCUUCAGUCAUUCUGGAUGUACAUAAAACUUUUCUACUUCCGUUCCGGUGACUAUUGCGGCUUACUGCCCAUUAGUCUCCUUUAUUCUCAAAAAAGGAAAAAAGAUAACAACCUAGAGUAGUCACACACUAGAACGAGUAACGGGCUUCCAUCUCCGGCCCGGAUUGCGAGGGGCGUAUAGCAUCUCUUUCCCGCACGGUAGAGGAGAUAGCGAGAGUAGUGCUCGCUCUUCCUCCUCGCCUAUAGCGAACGGCAACAAGUGAUGGCGAUCUCCAGGUCCCUUCCGCUCCCUAUCUCUUAGAUUCCCUAUCCCAAAUUCCCAAAGUUGUUCCCAAUACCCAUCCCACCCAUGCGUCAAAGCUACUAACACAAAAAACAACAAAUAAACAAAUAAACAACAAAACGAUCCAAACUUUUUGAUCAAAGGG